AGUGAACGCUGGCGGUAGGCCUAACACAUGCAAGUCGAACGGCAGCACAGUAAGAGCUUGCUCUUACGGGUGGCGAGUGGCGGACGGGUGAGGAAUACAUCGGAAUCUACUUUUUCGUGGGGGAUAACGUAGGGAAACUUACGCUAAUACCGCAUACGACCUACGGGUGAAAGCAGGGGAUCUUCGGACCUUGCGCGAUUGAAUGAGCCGAUGUCGGAUUAGCUAGUUGGCGGGGUAAAGGCCCACCAAGGCGACGAUCCGUAGCUGGUCUGAGAGGAUGAUCAGCCACACUGGAACUGAGACACGGUCCAGACUACUACGGGAGGCAGCAGUCGGGAAUAUUGGACAAUGGGCGCAAGCCUGAUCCAGCCAUACCGAGUGGGUGAAGAAGGCCUUCGGGUUGUAAAGACCUUUUGUUGGGAAAGAAAAGCAGCAGGUUAAUACCCCGCUGUUCUGACGGUACCCAAAGAAUAAGCACCGGCUAACUUCGUG
rnacentral:rRNA from 1 species